rnacentral:lncRNA from 1 species
GUUAUUAAGGUGUGGUGUGAAAAUUGAUCUUAAAAACAGGACUUCAUUAAUAGUUCUUUCUUCAAAUCACCCUUUUUUCAUUCUCAUAUGAUCAGUUAUUUCCUUGGAAAGGGGCUCCAAUGAGGGUGGUCAGUCUCUCAAUUGUGCAGCCCAGAGCUCUGCCUGCACAACUUUCCAGAUUGAGUCCUUGGCCUUUUGGGUUAAGGAAGUCCCUUGCCUGAGGCCUUAGAGACUUGCUGCCAAGUAGACAGUUCUUGGCAGGAUGGGCCAAUGGUCUCACCCAUUUAAGGCAGUACCAUAUGUUCAAUAAGACUCGUUGUAAAAGGGCAAGAGCUUCAAAGGCUAAUAGUUUCAGGACCCUUUCUCUGUUGUUUUUGUCGUUUUUUGCAUAUUGUUCAGUUUAGUAUGGCUCUCAUCUUAUUCUUCAUGAAAUGGGUUCCUACCUUCACCAAUCAAAGUGUGAAAGGGUUGGUUUGGAUAGCAGCACAUAUUUGGCAGCUAGUGAGAUCUGCCUACCUUCUCGAUAGCUAGCUGUGAAAGGAGUUCUCAUGGAGUGAGCUAAGACAUUUCUCCAUCUGUGAAACAAAUAACCAGUUGCAUUCGUAAAUGCUAGAAGAAACCAAAAGUUACCAGAUCUCUUUAUAUCAAGUCCAGUCAAGGAGUUUCUUUUCCAUAGAAAAGAAAACUUUGUAAGGCUGCAGUCCGAUGCCCACUUAUGCCCAAUAAGGAGUCAGUGUCACUGAAUCCAGAAGGACCAACUAUAAUAAUAAUAGGAAUGUACAUUCUGAUUAUAUGGGACAUUCUGGGAACAAAUUGGAAACUGGGAUGGCUUCUGUAAAUCUAGGACUUUUCCUGGAAAAUAGGGACACUUGGAAGGUCUGUUAGUAUACCCAGGUCAAGUUGGAGAGCCUAGUAUCCAUCUCCAAACCUAUGCUAGCUCAGUCUGCAUCCACAAAAUCGAGCUGUUUUUAUAUCCUUUACGCACCAUUCUUCAUUUCUGAUUUUGUGUUGGCUCAGAGUGCUGCACAUGUGCAGCAUAAGUUUUGGUUUCCCUGCUGGUUACUAAAGCCACAGGAACGUAGGUACACAUUCAUGAAAGCCCUUUGCAAAAAGGAACCUUGAAAGCCUCACAAUUUCUUUGAUUGUGCUUGCAUGUCUUGGAUCACCUGCAAACUGAAAACUGCACCAGUCUGUGCACGCACCAGUUCCAAAAUUAAUUCAAUUUCUUUCUAAGUUAAGGCAGGCAGGCAGGCAGAACCAGAACAUGGGUCAGAAGCAAACCAUGGGACCAGAAUGGGAGGGGGGAAAGGGAAACUGAGGAUAUCCGUCCAUCCCUAUUCUCUUUCAUUUCCAUGUUACAAAAAUUAGAAAACUUGUCAGCAGCUCAAUGUGUGAAAAUUAUUUAAAAUGUGACAUCCUUUGCCUGGGCAGCUGUCAAAACCAGGAACAGUUUGUGAAAGCUAAUUCGGUUCUAAAUUAAUCCUGAACACUUCGAAAAUAACGCUGUUAAAAGAAAACAACAUUUGAGAUGCUCCCCUCCACCACCUAAUUUGAUGGUUGGAAAGAAUAUAUUUUAACAUUUCGUACAUAUGUUUUAUGCACUAUAACUUUGCUCACUGCCAUGGGCUUUACAUAUAUUUUUGUGUUAUGUGGGAUAGAUUGCAACGGACUGUGCCUGAACCAUCUUCCAGGGUUCUCAGUAUAUGUCUAAGGUUUCGGCUGCAGAAGUUCACUGCGAUCACCUGAGAAUCCUGGAAGUCACAUGGCUCUGAGGGUGGAGCUCGCCAGCGCCUCCCUGUGCCCUGCCCUGUUAGCGCUCUAGUUUUACGUGAUUCCUGCCAUGCGUUGCCAACAAUCCCUGGCCCUACUUCCCUUGAAAUCCACCUGGUUCUUUUGAGCGUUGAGCUAGAACGUUUGCAAAAAAACGUAUUCACCACAUGGUCAGCUUUGUAACCUCCGACAGUGAGCAGGUUCUAAGAGGCAAAGUUUGCCAGACCCAGCUAGUGAGCAUUGGUGCCCCCUGUUACCUUCCCUCCAUCACAGAAGCUUUGAGGUGGGGUUGCUUGCAAAUGUGGAAAGAUGUAGCAGGAGCAGUGAUAGAGGUUGGGGGUGAACCCCCUUUUGAGAUGGAGCUUGUCUUGAAUGAGCCUGGGCCUCCCUUAUAGCAGAGAUUUCCCAACUGUGUUGGCCAUAAUUGUGAACUUGGUCAGCAUCACUAAACAAUGAAUUAAUAUGCCUGCACAUUGGCAUUCCUGGGAUGGUAUCCUUGGCAUAAUUAAGAGCUGAUUGUGGCAUGACAUAUUACAUGGUGGUAGAGAAGGGUUUACUGGGGAGCAGAACUGUAGCAACCAACUGUACAAUAUGCACUGAUUUUGGCAAACAUUUACUUACUUGUAAACUAUUAUUUUUAACACACUCCACCACAGUAGCUUUUGAAGUAGAGCAAGACCCGCCCCUUUCCUGCUUUUCUUCCUGUCUCUUCUUGCUCCACACACUCGAAGCUCUACCCUGGCAGGAGGAAAGUAGGAAGCUACAGUCUCUGUUGGGCAUACUAGCUCAGGGUCUCUACUAGUGCAAUAAUUAGCUAAGGAGCUCCUAGUUUGAAAUAUAAUCACCUGGGGGGACAGUGGAUGAAAUGGAUGCUAAUUAUCGAAUGGUAGGUAGUGGUUUGUAUUAGAAAAAAAAAGUCAUUUUGCGGAGCAGUUUAUUUUGAGCUUUAAACUUCCUCGUGGGUUGCCAUGGGGAUUAGGUGCAGCCAUAAAUCCGCUUCCUAGGUGUUCACAUGUGUUAAGCUGCCUGCAAACACUUCUUCUUUCCUUAAAAUUAAUUUGUAGACCGAACACCUUUGCUCGGCUUGGGUCUGUUAUUGAUGUCCCUGGUUUAUGUUCUUUUUCUGUGUGUGUGUGUGUGUGUGUGUGUGUGUGUGUGUGUGUGUAAAUCGGUGGUAGCUCUCAGUAGGGGAGAUUGCUCAUAGCUGAAUUGGAAGAUAUUUGCUCCAGUUUGCUUUAAUCUCCCGUGACUACAGUGUGGGCUGUUCCCUAGGUUUCCAUAGGGACAGGAACAAUGCUUCCCGUUGGGGUUCAUCAGCCACAGAAUGAUGAUGCUACAAAGUACACAGUGCUGAGUUGGUCUCAUUGGUUUCUAUGGUAACUGCAGCUUCCUUUAAUCCACCAUCUCUCUCUCUCUCCAUCUCUCUCUCUCUCUCUCUCUCUGUUUCUUCCCCUUCCUGUUUUUGCUUCUGCACCAAUAUUAUUGCCAAACCUAUGGUGCAUUUUUGGAAAUUGAUUUUGGGCUUGUAGGAGGUCUAUGCAAGCAUAAUUCUGAGGAUGAUGAAGCAGAAAUAUAUUUUUGGCACAUCUUGGGUUUGGGUUGUGUGUGUGUGUGUGCCUUCUCCAUUCUCUUACGAAAUCAAAACCAAAGUGCUACCAGACCUUCAGUAGUGCCAUCUGCCUCAAAUUUUAUGGGAUGGUCUGGAUUUUUAUGCACCUGACGAAUGCCAGGAUUUGAAAACCUAUCCAACUGUGUUUGAAUUUAAAAGAAAGAAAUAAAAAGAUAAGAGAGGCCAUGUAGAUAAAUAAAACUAGAUGAAUCAUAAACUGAUUCAGUAUUGUCAUUUCAGGAUGUUAUGUUGUGAAACAGAGAUAUAAAGCUAGAAAGAUGCAAUGAACGACUUAUUGUACCAAUCUCAUCUAUUAAUCAUACAUAGUACAUCCAUCCACAUGAUGUCAUUUCAGGAUAGCAUAGUGGAUGAUUUAUAUAACUGUACAUACCAGGGGCCCACACAUUUGGGCUGUCCUUGGCAGCCAAGCUAAAUUUAUUUUUUCCACUGGCCCUGCCUUUCUCCUGAGGAUUGAUGGGGAAGGGGUAUCAUACAUGGCUUUGACUUAAGAGACCAAACAAGACUGAGGGGAACCCCCCCCCCAGUUGUGAAGAGGCUCAGGAAGUAGCAAGGCUGUAAGAGAGCUGCUCCUUUUCUGCAGAUCCCAUGGACCUCACAGUUAUGUUAUAAUGAGAAUCUGGCUCUGUGAAAGGUCACACCCCAUAGAUGCAGUGAGUAAGUUACCCAGCGCCCUGGCAAGUUCCUGGAAGGGAUUGUAUUUCUGUUUGCCCCUCCCCAGUCAUGAUCCUACCCUUGGUGGUAUCAUUUACCAUUUAAGAUGAUUUUAUCGGGACCAAAAAUGAUGCACACCUGACUCACCUAAUUGGCUUCCAUAGGCUGUGACCAUGGCUUAGAUCAGCCUUCCAAGUAUUGUUGGAUUCUAACUCCCAUAAUCCCAGAACACUGACCAUGAUGGGACUGAUGGAAAUUGGGAGUCUGACAACAUCUGGAGAACAUUUGGCCAGGAAAGGGUGACUUAGGUGAUUUUUAAAAGGGGGUGGGGAAUAGGCAAAUUCUAGAAGCAAAGUUCUAUUGAUGACUAUUAACCAUGAGAGCUGAAUGGAAGCUCUGUGUUCAGAGAAUAUCAAAUGUGGAUGUCAAAGAGUGAGGAAGGGCUGUUGCUUAUUGUUAUUUUAUUUUAUUAUUUGCACUCAACCCAUCUGACUUGAUUUGUGCUCUGUUUCUGAGUUUCCUGGAAAUAUUUGGUUAGUCACCGUUCGAACAAGAUGCUGGACUUGAGGAUUCCUUAGAACGAUCCAACCAAACUUUUCUUAUGUUCUUGCAUUUUGCCACAAAGUUAUAGCAUGCAACAUGCUAUGAUAAUCUUUAAUUGGUUACAGUGUUCUGUCUUUUAUUUUUAACCAGGGCCACAAUGUGCAAAGCUCUCUCAUGAUUUCACCCUUUCCUUACUACUGCAUAUUUUCACAAUAAAAUGAGUAAAAAAAAAUCAUAAAGUAGAGAACAAAUGACCAGUAUUGCAUCUCGUUAAAACUCCUUAGCAAAAGAAACAUAUUUCCAUCAGGUGACAAAGUAACAAAAUUGUAGGGAGCCUCUCUGAUUUCAAUAGGAACUAGUACAGUAUUCCAAAUUACUGCUGCCACUACAGUACACUACACUACACUAUACUACAGUUUUUGCUGUGCAUGCAAAAACUCCGCUUAUCUAAAUCAAGCUGGAAAAAGAUGGCUGCAGUAAGACCAAACUCUCAAGACAUUUUUAAAACGCUACUUAAGAAGGUGGUAGUAGGAACAUUUGAAAUGGGGUGUCAGCAGAAACCAAAGCAUCAAGUCCAAAUCCUCCUUUUUUUAAGAAAACCUUUUUAAUAUUUUUGUAAAAAAGAAUUGUGAUUAAAAAAAAGGAAUGGGAAAAACACACCUUUCUGUUGCAAGUCUCCAUUACCAGUUCAACAUCUAUAGCAAAUGACUCCCUCUAGAGUCCAAAUUGCAAAAGAAUGUCGUUCCAUUAAAAAAAAUAGUUUUGUUCUUGUGGCAGCUUUUGUCCUUGGUCACAUGGUAAAUCCUACGUUGCAAAAGGAUCUGAAUUGUUCCUUGAAGACUAUGGCUGUGCCACAGGCAUUAUCUGAAGGACCACCUUGUCCUUUAUACACUGGCCAGAUCACUGUGAUCACCUGGAGAAUCCCUCUUGAAUGUCCCACUGUGAGCUUAUAUUCUUUUAUAGUUUCUAUGGGAGCCAAGGUUUAUCAGUGUAGUGGCACCAGUAAUUUGGAAUACUGUACUAGUUCCUAUAUAAGACAGGCUUCCUACAACUUUGUUAUUUUGUCACCUGCUGGAAACAUGUUUCUUUUGCUAAGCAGUUUUAAUGCGAUGCAUUGCUGGUCAUUUGUUCUCUAUUUUAUGAUUUUAUGAAUUUUUUACUCAUUUUAUUGUACACUGCCAUUUUUUUAUAUUGAGUUGGCAGUUUUGUAACAUUCUUAUAAAUAUAAACAUUGUCUUAUGCUUUCACGUGCUGCCAGUGGGAUUCCCAAAAGCAUCUGUUUGUCCGCUGCUGAACUAGACAGACUUUUUGCAGGCUUCAACAGCAGGCCAUCCAUAGGCAGCCUUCCUCGCUGUUUCUGUCCUGCCGUUAGGAAACCUAGUGCAUAAUAGAAAUGACUACAAGAAGAUGCAGCUGUCUAAUUAUAGAACAGUUCAGCACUGGAAUGGGUUGCCAAGGAAGCCUGUGAAAUCCCUUCCUUGAAAGUCUUAAAUAAAAGGUGAGACAGGCAUCUUUCAAGCUUCGGCUAUAGAAAUCGGCAAUUAACACAAGUAUGGAAAUAUGGAAUGUAGGUUCAAGAUUUUAAAGUUAUACAUGCUUCUUUACAGCAAUCAAAUUUUAUCAUGUACCUGCUGAGAAUCUUCUUUACCCAGCUGCAUAGGAUUGCAUUCAAUGUUAGACAUACUCAGAACAGACUUGCUGAAAUUAAAAGACUUCCCGUACCUACGGGACUGCCUCUCCUAGUAUGCCCCGCAGAGGACCUUAAGGUCCAUAAAUAACAACACUUUGGAAGUCCCGAGCCCCAAGGAGGUUAGAUUGGCCUCAACCAGGGCCAGGGCCUUUUCAGCUCUGGCCCCGGCCUGGUGGAACGCCCUACCGCAGGAGAUCAGGACCCUGCGGGAUUUGACAUCUUUCUGCAGGGCCUGCAAGAUGGAGCUGUUCCGUCUGGCCUUUGGGCUGGACUCAGUCUAACUCCCCCUCUCAUUUUUUAUUUUUUUUAAUGGAACCCCUCAAAUGGGAUUUUGUAUAUAAAUUUUUCCUCGGCUCUUUUUGCUGGCCCAUGUAGGACCAGCGUGGAUAGUUGGCCCUGGUGAAUAUUUGACGUUUUCUCCCCUUAUGGCUUUGAUCUAUAGGCUACCACUAAAACGAGGCAGCAUUUUAAGCUGCAUUUUAAGCUGUAUUCCAACUUAUAUUUUAAUCAACUGUUUGUUUUGUUUUUAAUGUUUUUACUGUAUUUAUAUUCAGUGUUAGCCGCCCUGAGCCCGGUCUUGGCCGGGGAGAGGGGGUAUAAAUAAAAAUUAUUAUUAUUAUUAUUUAUUACUACUUAACUAAUGUCUAGAAUUUAGCCGGAUAUAACCCAUAGUGGUUUGGGAGGGACCAUAUUUUCCUUUAUAGAUUGCCACCCUAGAGAGAUGAAGAAAAGCAAACUUUUUUGGGUGGGGGACCCAGUUGAGAUUGCAGUUCUGUACACCAGGCGUGGGGAAUUUCUGGUCCUCCAAAUGUUGCUGGACUCGCAUCAGCCUUGGCCAGCAUGGUCAAUGGGUGAGGGAUGACGGAAACUAGAGUCCUGCAAUAUCUAGAGGGUCAUCGCUUCCCCAUUCCUGCUAUACACGCCUACCCGAACUCCAUGGGUCUCACAUCUGAAUAGUUGGAUUUCACUGUAAAAGUGGGCUAGAGGCACGUUCAGCUUAAUAUAGUUCUAAUCAGAUAAUAAUAUCCUGGUCUUGUGACUUGGGCAAAAGCUUUUAAGAUUUUUUUUUCAAAAGAGAAAUACUUUCCCUACAUUAUUUAAUCAAGAGAUUAAUCAGCUUUUAAUUAAAUAUACUCUGAACUGAAAUACUGCAGCCCUGACAAUAAUUGGUUCAUUAAUCAGUUAAAAGCAAGGUGUGUCAUCAAGACAAUCUCCUGACUAUAAAAAAAACCCCUCCUAUUUGAAAAUCAGCCGUGGAACUCAUUUUCUCCUGUUGUUCUUCAUUGUUAAAAAGCAAAAGCAAAAAAAAAGCUCCAUUCAGUCCAUUCACAGGUGCACUUCAGUAACUUCCAUUUGGCACAAUGUCCUCCUUUACAAGAGGAUGAAACAGC